CCUGGCCCUAUGUGAUCCUCCUGCCUCAGCCUUCCAGUGAUUAACACAGACAUAUACACCAAUGGAACACAAUAGAGUGCACAGAAAUGAAUAUGCAUAUGGUCAAAUAAUCUUCAACAAAGAUACCAAGACCACACAAUGGGAAAAGGACAGUCUCUUCAACAAAGUGUUGGGAAAAACUGAAUAUCCAUAUGCAAAUAAUGAAAUUGGGCCCUUACCUUACACGGUAUACAAAAAUUAAUACAGAAUGGAUUAAGAUCUAAAUGUAAGAUUUUAAACUAUAAAACUCCUAAGACUGCUUUUUCCCUCCAACAGUGGUGCUGUUUCUGGAUGGAUCAUAUCAGAAGGCACAUGAUGUUGAUAUGUCCCAUUACUAAUGAUGUUAACUUUUCCUGAAAUAAGCUCUAGGUUGAGGAGCAUGAAACACACACUGAAACUCCGGCAUGGCAGGACUUAAUCCACAGAACAAGGAUUUCAUCCCAUCACUUAUCUCUAAGCUCCACAAGGAGGUUUGGUACAAAGCAAUUAAAUCAUCCUUCAGGCCACCCAGCUCCCAAUGUGGGUUUUCUCCCAAACAGCUACGCUCAUUUCAGUUAUUAAAUGUGACAGUGGCUUUAAGUACAUUGUCCCAGAAGUCCUAAACAGGAAGAAUACUGUAACCUCUCGUUUAAGAGAUCAUGAACCCUGUACUGACUGUGACGACAAUCACGAAAGUAAGCAAAGAGAAGUUCUGAGCAGUCACCAUCCCUUCACAAAUCAAAGCACUAAAGCUCACACCCAGAACCUCAAGACCAUCUAAGACCAUUUCCCCACAAUGCUAACUAGGGGACACUUCAAUAGAUAAGAUUAGAAGCAUGAACUGAGGUGGAAGGAAGCCACUAAUGGCAGAUAAGCCAAGAGGAACUAGAUGUGACAGCUGACAUCCAGAGAAGAGACAGAAACUGAUUUGGUCUCAGACUCAGAAGCCAAAGCAAUCUGAGACCCGUUUCCACAAAGGGCAAAUAGUUUUCCACACGUGAACUGCCUUUGAGAGUAUAACAUACUAGAAUACGGCGUAACAACUGGCAUUAACGGUAAUUCGGUUUAAUUUAACAAACAGCUACCAUUCUUGUAUGUAUACUUUAUGCUAUUAAACAUAAACAUGAA
rnacentral:lncRNA from 1 species